rnacentral:lncRNA from 1 species
CCCUACCCUUAGUUUCCUGCCUACUUUUGUUGGACUGCUUCCCAUCCUCAUUCUUUUGAACCACUGCCGAUUCUUUUCGAGGUAGCUCAGGCCCCUUAUCUACUCGUCGAACCUCGUCCUAAAGUGCAUGCUUUUCUGCCAGAGCAAAAAAAUCUGCUAGGGUUAGAUAUUCUUUCAUGAACAAUUCUCUAAAUAGUGGGUGGUCUGAUGGGAGUUCUUUUUUUAA